rnacentral:rRNA from 1 species
AUCAACGCUGGCGGCGUGCCUAACACAUGCAAGUCGAACGAGAAAGUGGAGCAAUCCAUGAGUAAAGUGGCGUACGGGUGAGUAACACGUGACUAACCUACCCUUGAGUGGGGAAUAACCUCGGGAAACCGGGGCUAAUACCGCAUAACACCUUCGGGUCAAAGGAGCAAUUCGCUUAAGGAGGGGGUCGCGGCUGAUUAGCUAGUUGGUGGGGUAAUGGCCUACCAAGGCAAUGAUCAGUAUCCGGCCUGAGAGGGCGCACGGACACACUGGAACUGAAACACGGUCCAGACUCCUACGGGAGGCAGCAGUGGGGAAUUUUGCACAAUGGGGGAAACCCUGAUGCAGCAACGCCGCGUGGAGGAUGAAGUCCCUUGGGAUGUAAACUCCUUUCGACCGGGACGAUUAUGACAGUACCGGUGGAAGAAGCCCCGGCUAACUCUGUGCCAGCAGCCGCGGUAAUACAGAGGGGGCAAGCGUUGUUCGGAAUUAUUGGGCGUAAAGGGUGCGUAGGCGGUGCGGUAAGUCUUCUGUGAAAUCUCCGGGCUCAACUCGGAGCCUGCAGGAGAAACUGCCGUGCUUGAGUAUGGGAGAGGUGAGUGGAAUUCCUGGUGUAGCGGUGAAAUGCGUAGAUAUCAGGAGGAACACCUGUGGCGAAAGCGGCUCACUGGACCAUAACUGACGCUGAGGCGCGAAAGCGUGGGGAGCAAACGGGAUUAGAUACCCCGGUAGUCCACGCCGUAAACGAUGGGCACUUGGUGUCGCGGGUAUCGACCCCUGCGGUGCCGAAGCUAACGCAUUAAGUGCCCCGCCUGGGGAGUACGGUCGCAAGGCUGAAACUCAAGGGAAUUGACGGGGGCCCGCACAAGCGGUGGAGCAUGUGGUUCAAUUCGAGGCAACGCGAAGAACCUUACCUGGGUUUGAAGAUCAUCGGACAGGGUGCGAAAUCACCUCUUCCCGCAAGGGACUGAUGGUUAGGUGCUGCAUGGCUGUCGUCAGCUCGUGUCGUGAGAUGUUGGGUUAAGUCCCGCAACGAGCGCAACCCCUGUUGCCAGUUGCCAUCGGGUAAUGCCGGGCACUCUGGUGAGACUGCCGGUGAUAAACCGGAGGAAGGUGGGGAUGACGUCAAGUCCUCAUGGCCUUUAUGUCCAGGGCUACACACGUGCUACAAUGGCCGGUACAAACCGACGCAAGAGCGCAAGCUGGAGCAAAUCGGAAAAAGCCGGUCUCAGUUCGGAUUGGGGUCUGCAACUCGACCCCAUGAAGCUGGAGUCGCUAGUAAUCGCGGAUCAGCACGCCGCGGUGAAUACGUUCCCGGGCCUUGUACACACCGCCCGUCACAUCACGAAAGUCGGCUGUACCAGAAGCCGGUGGGCCAACCCGCAAGGGGGGCAGCCGUCUAAGGUAUGGUCGGUAAUUGGGGUG